UUUGCAUCUCGGCAAUCUCUUUCUGAUUGUCCAGUUGCAUUUUAGUAAGCUCUUUUUGAUUCUCAAAUCCGGCGUCAACCAUACCAGCAGAGGAAGCAUCAGCACCAGCACGCUCCCAAGCAUUAAGCUCAGGAAAUGCAGCAGCAAGAUAAUCACGAGUAUCCUUUCCUUUAUCAGCGGCAGACUUGCCACCAAGUCCAACCAAAUCAAGCAACUUAUCAGAAACGGCAGAAGUGCCAGCCUGCAACGUACCUUCAAGAAGUCCUUUACCAGCUUUAGCCAUAGCACCAGAAACAAAACUAGGGACGGCCUCAUCAGGGUUAGGAACAUUAGAGCCUUGAAUGGCAGAUUUAAUA
rnacentral:rRNA from 1 species